CCUACGGGUGGCUGCAGUGGGGAAUAUUGGACAAUGGGGGCAACCCUGAUCCAGCCAUGCCGCGUGUGUGAAGAAGGCCCUCGGGUUGUAAAGCACUUUCAGUGAGGAAGAACGCCUGGUGGUUAAUACCCAUCAGGAAAGACAUCACUCACAGAAGAAGCACCGGCUAACUCCGUGCCAGCAGCCGCGGUAAUACGGAGGGUGCGAGCGUUAAUCGGAAUUACUGGGCGUAAAGCGCGCGUAGGUGGCUUGAUAAGCCGGUUGUGAAAGCCCCGGGCUCAACCUGGGAACGGCAUCCGGAACUGUCAAGCUAGAGUGCAGGAGAGGAAGGUAGAAUUCCCGGGGUAGCGGUGAAAUGCGUAGAGAUCGGGAGGAAUACCAGUGGCGAAGGCGGCCUUCUGGACUGACACUGACACUGAGGUGCGAAAGCGUGGGUAGCAAACAGGAUUAGAUACCCUGGUAGUC
rnacentral:rRNA from 1 species